rnacentral:rRNA from 1 species
GAUGAACGCUGGCGGCGUGCCUAAUACAUGCAAGUCGAGCGAAUGGAUUAAGAGCUUGCUCUUAUGGAGUUAGCGGCGGACGGGUGAGUAACACGUGGGUAACCUGCCCAUAAGACUGGGAUAACUCCGGGAAACCGGGGCUAAUACCGGAUAACAUUUUGAACCGCAUGGUUCGAAAUUGAAAGGCGGCUUCGGCUGUCACUUAUGGAAGGACCCGCGUCGCAUUAGCUAGUUGGUGAGGUAACGGCUCACCAAGGAAACGAUGCGUAGCCGACCUGAGAGGGUGAUCGGCCACACUGGGACUGAGACACGGCCCAGACUCCUACGGGAGGCAGCAGUAGGGAAUCUUCCGCAAUGGACGAAAGUCUGACGGAGCAACGCCGCGUGAGUGAUGAAGGCUUUCGGGUCGUAAAACUCUGUUGUUAGGGAAGAACAAGUGCUAGUUGAAUAAGCUGGCACCUUGACGGUACCUAACCAGAAAGCCACGGCUAACUACGUGCCAGCCGCCGCGGUAA